AGCGAACGCUGGCGGCAGGCCUAACACAUGCAAGUCGAACGAACCUUUCGGGGUUAGUGGCGGACGGGUGAGUAACACGUGGGAACGUGCCUUUAGGUUCGGAAUAACUCAGGGAAACUUGUGCUAAUACCGAAUGUGCCCUUCGGGGGAAAGAUUAAUCGCCUUUAGAGCGGCCCGCGUCUGAUUAGCUAGUUGGUUGAGGUAAUGGCCCACCAAGGCGACGAUCAGUAGCUGGUCUGAGAGGAUGAUCAGCCACAUUGGGACUGCGACACGGCCCAAACUCCUACGGGAGGCAGCAGUAGGGAAUCUUGCGCAAUGGGCGAAAGCCUGACGCAGCCAUGCCGCGUGAAUGAUGAAGGUCUUAGGAUUGUAAAAUUCUUUCACCGGGGACGAUAAUGACGGUACCCGGAGAAGGAGCCCCGGCUAACUUCGUG
rnacentral:rRNA from 1 species